AAAAAAAAAAAAAAAAAGACAGAAUUCCAUGAUCAAAAACAAAGAUGGAGAGAAAAGAAAGUGAAAAGAAACAAACAAAGCAAAGGAAACAAAAGCGAACUGCUUUUUAUUACACUUUUGAGGAUUGCAACAGCAAUACAAACAAAUUAUAAUCCCUUUUUCUAAGUCCUUUUAUCAUCAGAUGGUGGAGAGAUAAAAGAAAGAAAGAAAAGAGAGAAGCAACUCAAUUAUUUUAAGGAGAGAAGAACCUAAAAAUAUAAUAACAAAAAAGUAAAAGAAAAAUGUGGGGGGUGAGGUCAAAGGUGGGCAAGAACACUGAUGAGCAGUGUGAUGUUAGAUAAAGUUUUGAGCUUUUUGCAUUUGGAAUUUCUAUGUGGCGUGCACAACAUAAUCACCACAUCACUUUCUCUGGUCUCUACAACUACAAGUGAAGAGCCGGCACAUGAGUUUUGAUCAUUAUCCACGAGAACGGUUUUGGUUUUCCUUUGCUAAGAUAUUGUAAUGACCCAUUUCAUGCAAAACAAAGUGAUUAACGACUUAAUAUAUAUAUAUGAGCUUAAUUGCUUUAUAAUUUCAUCUUUUCUUGCUCUAAUUCUGCUUAGUAAAAUAAUAAUUUCAAAUCUCUCUAAUAUUCAAUAUUCCAAUCUUUUUUAAAGAGGAAAAAAAUUAUAUAUGCUAAUUGUGUGAUUAAUAUUUUUUUUCAGUCAAUAUUAAUUAUUGAUUGCAUGCAUCAAAGUCGCCUUAUCAUAAAGGUUGUGUAGUAUGCAAUAAUGGCAAUCGAGAAUAAAUGCCGUAAUGGGUAGCUAGGUCAAUUGGCAAGUGUAAUUCCACCCUAUCCUCUUUCACCCAAUUCUGUGAUAAUU
rnacentral:misc_RNA from 1 species